GCAAUGGUGGUUCAGUGGUAGAAUUCUCGCCUCCCAACCGGGAGACAUGGGUCUGAUACCCAGCCAAUGCA
rnacentral:tRNA from 1 species